UCUAUGGCAAAUAUUGUUCUCCUCUUCUUCCCUGAAUCAGGCGAUGUCUGCAGGCCAGACUCCACUAUAGAGCAAGUAAGAUUUCUAACCUCUGGUUCAGAUUUUAAUCUAAGUUGCAUAUACAUAUUCUUGGAGAUGAAUUCGUGUUAUGGGUGCGUAUACAACUUUUAAAAUUUAUAUCCAAUUAGAUCCUUGAUAUUCAAGCUAAGCGGUCAAUUUUGAGAUGGUAUAUGUAAGACCUACUGCGAGGCCAAGAUCCAACACAGAAAAAGAACUGCAAAGACAACCAUGGUAUAAAUUAUCUGGAUUGAUAGGGAUUGCUACAUGGACCGUAAAUAAGGUGAAGGUAUAAUGCAUAAAGAUUGGGAAACAAACCUCUUGGAUUUGGUUGAGAAAUAUUAUCUAUAAUUUCAAAAGAUGGGAUUGAAAUCUGUAGCUGAGUCAUCAUUUGCUUACUCUUGGAUGCGUUCGCUUCUCAGAUUUCAUGCACAGCGCAUCAAAGCUAUGAAAAGAAGGCAUGGCAGGGUCUCCACAGGACAACCAUUGUCGAAUGCAUCUUGCAUCCGGUAUCUCCUCCCUUUGCUAUUUCUGUAUUAAUUGAUUUAUUUGUUCCUGUUCGAUUGGGGUCUUUCUCACUGAUUCGUCAGUUUUGUUUCCAUAUGGGUAUAUGCUUGCGUAUGGCCUUGACAAGAACACUAGACUGGUGCAUUCUUACAAAAACCCGCCAGAGAAUUACUUCGCGUUCCAGUUUCUAGAUGUGAACAUAUUAAAAUAUCGGAUGUGACCAUCUCCCUCUCACCGGUUCACUACUUUCCCUCCGGUUCACUACUUCCCUUCAUGAACUCUUAUUUUUCUAAAUCCUUGGAUAUAUGUUGUAAGAUCAAACACCCAAAAAAAUUGAAUCCCAAAAAGUGGGCUUUAUUAAAGCAUUGAUUCAUAAUAACCUUCUAAAUAUUCCUAAAUCUGAAAAUUGUUACUUGAAUGAAAUUAUUAAUGUCUUGUUUGUUCAUAGAUGUCCAAGUGGUACUCAUCUUUUGUUUUCUGUUUCUGUCUAGCAGCUAGCUGUUUAAUUACUUUUUAUGAUGCUUUCUCUAAUAUACAAUGGUACACGUUUGGUGUGUGUUUGGCAUGUAAAAGGAAGAUAAGUCUGUAGCUUGAUGAUGAGUUUUCAGCUCCCAGUGCAGAUUUCUUCAAGUUUGGGGAUUUGUAAUCACCAGGAGAAUAAACCUACUAUUCACUUCCG